rnacentral:rRNA from 1 species
AGCAGCCGCGGUAAUUCCAGCUCCAAUAGCGUAUAUUAAAGUUGUUGCAGUUAAAAAGCUCGUAGUUGAAUUUCGGGAUCAAGGAAUCGGUCAUGCCUCGGUAUGUACUGGUUUUAUUGGUUCUCACCUUCUAAAGAACCAUAAUGUCAUUCAUUUGAUGUUAUGGGGAAUUAGGACUGUUACCUUGAAAAAAUUAGAGUGUUUAAAGCAGGCUCACGCUUGAAUACAUUAGCAUGGAAUAAUGAAAUAGGACGUUUGAUUCUAUUUUGUUGGUUUCUAGGAUCGACGUAAUGAUUAAUAGGGAUAGUUGGGGGCAUUAGUAUUCAAUUGUCAGAGGUGAAAUUCUUGGAUUUAUUGAAGACUAACUACUGCGAAAGCAUUUGCCAAGGAUGUUUUCAUUAAUCAAGAACGAAAGUUAGGGGAUCGAAGACGAUCAGAUACCGUCGUAGUCUUAACCAUAAACUAUGCCGACUAGGGAUCGGAUGGAUGUUAAUUUUUAAUGACUCA